GAUCUUUGUCCCUUGGCAGAAUUUAUAUGACCCAAGUUCAAGGACGCUGCCAGGAGAACAACAGAUUAAACAUACAUUCCAAAGAAUCCAAUAUGAAGGCUAGUUUCUUUUUUUGCCAAUGUUUAUUGAUUUAUUUUGCGCAAGUGCAUGAGAGAGAGAGAGAGAAUGCACGAGCACGGGAGGGGCAGAGAGAGAGAGUGAAUGGGAGGAGCAAAGAGAGAGAGGGAGAGCAAGAAUCCCAAGCAGGCUCCACAGCUGUCAGCACAGAGUCCGAGCUCACAAACUGUGAGAUGGUGACCUGAGCUGAAAUCAAGAGUUGAAGUCACUCAGAUGCCCUGGAGGCUAGUUUCAUUUCAGAAGGCUCUGUCCCAGCACUGACAGAUGGUGUAGCCAUUCUGGGGGCCUCUUCCUUCUCUCCUCCUUCACAAAGAAGAGGUCAUGUGAGCCCACAAUGAGAUGGCUGCCACCUACAAGCCAAGAGAAGAGGUCUCAAAAUGAAACCUACCUUGUUAGCACCUUGAUCUUGGACUCCCAGCCUCCAUAACUGUGAGAGAUAAAUUUCUGUUGUGCAAGCCA